AACCAAAAGCAACUGCCUCCAAAACUAAUCUCCUUAAGCUUGAAAAAGAUGUCAAAAUAACCUCAUCAUUCUCUAGCAAACCAUUCUUGUCAUCCCCAAAAAGUGCAAAGCUAUGCUUCUCAAUCAAAUUCACAGCCUCUUUAGAUUUCAGUUUUGCACAUCUCUGCAAUGUCUCAGCAUCAAAACCCAACACAUAGCACUUCAAUUUUUCACGCUUCCAGUCCUGCUCACUUGACUCUUGGCAUGAUAAGACAGAUUGCAUGUUGCUUAAAUGAUCAUAAGGUAAUGAGUCUGGAAACUGAAACAUGGUCCUACAACUAAGAUAAGGAUCAUGAUGGGGCACAGCUAGACAACGUUCCAGAUAAUGCCUCAAGGAUGCAGACUUCAAGAAGUAACCAUAU
rnacentral:misc_RNA from 1 species